AUGAACGCUGGCGGCGUGCCUAAUACAUGCAAGUCGAGCGAACAGACGAGGAGCUUGCUCCUCUGACGUUAGCGGCGCACGGGUGAGUAACACGUGGAUAACCUACCUAUAAGACUGGGAUAACUUCGGGAAACCGGAGCUAAUACCGGAUAAUAUAUUGAACCGCAUGGUUCAAUAGUGAAAGACGGUUUUGCUGUCACUUAUAGAUGGAUCCGCGCCGCAUUAGCUAGUUGGUAAGGUAACGGCUUACCAAGGCGACGAUGCGUAGCCGACCUGAGAGGGUGAUCGGCCACACUGGAACUGAGACACGGUCCAGACUCCUACGGGAGGCAGCAGUAGGGAAUCUUCCGCAAUGGGCGAAAGCCUGACGGAGCAACGCCGCGUGAGUGAUGAAGGUCUUCGGAUCGUAAAACUCUGUUAUUAGGGAAGAACAAAUGUGUAAGUAACUAUGCACGUCUUGACGGUACCUAAUCAGAAAGCCACGGCUAACUACGUG
rnacentral:rRNA from 1 species